GACGAACGCUGGCGGCGUGCUUAACACAUGCAAGUCGAGCGAGAAAAGUUCUUCGGAGCUUUUCUAGCGGCGGACGGGUGAGUAACACGUGGGCAACCUGCCUCAUAGAGGGGAAUAGCCUUCCGAAAGGAAGAUUAAUACCGCAUAACAUUGUUGAAAGGCAUCUUUUAACAAUCAAAGGAGCAAUCCGCUAUGAGAUGGGCCCGCGGCGCAUUAGCUAGUUGGUGAGGUAACGGCUCACCAAGGCGACGAUGCGUAGCCGACCUGAGAGGGUGAUCGGCCACAUUGGAACUGGGACACGGUCCAGACUCCUACGGGAGGCAGCAGUGGGGAAUAUUGCACAACGGGGGAAACCCUGAUGCAGCAACGCCGCGUGAGUGAUGAAGGUCUUCGGAUUGUAAAGCUCUGUCUUUAGGGACGAUAAUGACGGUACCUAAGGAGGAAGCCACGGCUAACUACGUGCCAGCAGCCGCCGUAACAC
rnacentral:rRNA from 1 species